CCCUUAGAUGUCCUGGGCUGCACGCGCGCUACACUGAUGUGUCCAGUAAGCACCUAACCUCUUCCGAAAGGAACGGGUAACCUUUGCAAAGCACAUCGUGAUGGGGAUAGAUUAUUGCAAUUAUUAGUCUUGAACGAGGAAUUCCUAGUAAGCACAAGUCAUCAGCUUGUGUUGAUUACGUCCCUGCCCUUUGUACACACCGCCCGUCGCUCCUACCGAUUGAAUGUUCCGGUGAGCUCUUCGGACUGCGCGGUCUGCAGUUUCUGCGUUCCGUGCGGAAAGUUGCGCAAACCUUAACAUUUAGAGGAAGGAGAAGUCGCAACA
rnacentral:rRNA from 1 species